UCAAGUACCACAUUAACAGUUGUUCCUUUCACAGGAGGCAUCAGAAUCAGAGGUUCCUGCAACUUAUUUUUUAUCUUUCAAUGCCCCUUGGCAAUCAUUACCCACCUGACCGUUUGAUCUCUUUUUUGUUUUUUUUUUCGGUUCAGGCCUUUCUUGCAUUGCUUUUUCCUUUUCUUUUCUUUUCUUUCUUUCUUUUUUUCUUUUUUUUUCUUUUUUUAGCAGGAUCGACCUCAAUUCCUCUUUCGUUCACAACAAGCCUCGGCAACUUACCGGACAGCACUCCACAAGUGCACUGAUUCGUACUCAACCUCA
rnacentral:lncRNA from 1 species